UAUAUGAAUACACGGCGCGGCUGCCAGGACCUCCAGUCACUCCCUGCUCACCUGCGCCGUUCUCCGCAGCAGAUGUUUGCGCUUGUCACGGCAAAUCACUGGGCUCCCGUCGGGUCAGCUGCUCUCGGGGUCGCGCGCGCGCGCGCUGACUGACUGGGACUGGGACGUUGUUAAGUAAAUUUGUUUCACCUGGAUUUCCUCCCGCUCCGACACGUCAAACUGUCUGCGCGUGAAAGCCGUUGCGGAGCGGCCUCGUCCCCGGAUGGAGCUGCCAGCCUGCGUUAGCGACUCUGACCCCAGCUGGUUUUUGGGCGUCUGGCUGCCUGCCUGAUGCCUUCUGCUCUUUUUAUUUCUGCCUCUGCGGGCGCCUACCUGUUUGUGACCUAUAUCCUGCCUUUUGACUAUUAAAGCAUGGCCACAGUCGGACCCUGAACCUGCUCCACUCUGGCUCCGUUCUGGCUCCGUUCUGGUUCCGUUCUGGUUCCGGUCACUGCCCACCGGCCUUCUCUAGUCAAGCCUCCUGUUCUCCUGCCUGAUGAUCUCGCGUCUAGGUUUCACUCCACAAUUACGGGGGGUUAUCUGAAUUUUUGACGGCCCAAAGCGUGAACACAAUGCCCAGAAAGACAAGAUGAAUGGAGGGAAGUGGAAGAAUGCAGCGGCGUAUUGAUUUUCAGCCGUCCGUCCAUCCACCGGCCACUAAUCUUUGUCUAGGUCAUGGUGACAGCAGGCGGCCCAGAUGUCUCUCUCCUCCGCUUCGUCCUCCACUCAGUCCUGGGAAUUGAUUUCCAAUUUGUAUUUAACCUUUCAUUGUCAUACACUGCGUAUGGACUCCGCUCUCACUCGGCCAGUGAAUUAUUUAAGUUAGCAGAACAUGCUUGAAAUAUUGUGUUGGGGGCAUUUUCCAGCUAAAACUCUUAGGUGUGCGUUUGGUAUUUGCAGUUUCGACAGUAAAGUGGGAGCUUGUAAAGAGCACUGGAGGACAGCAUCACAUCCUUCCUGUUUCACUGCAGGCUCAUAGGGUUAAAUAAAAAAUAAUCCAAACUCAUCGAAUUGGUAACUUUCACAUUAAAAUUCAUCCCCUUUGAAAUGCCAAGAUUACUUUAAAUGCUCUUUUUAAAGGCAAUUACACAUCAUCCUCAACAACAGAAAGAGAAAUACUUAUAUUGUUCCCACCGUGUCGGUGUGAGGUUACAGAAGGUUUGCUGAAGUCAGCUCUUCUGAAUAUAAAUUUGUGAAAAUUGCCUCCUCACAAAGCAUCAGUAUGCAGAGAGAGGGAGAGACCGAUUUGAUAAAUUAUAGCUGUACACCAUCCACAUUCUACGUUUAAUAAGAAUAAAUGUCUUAAAUUGCAGUACAAUUAGUUGAAUCACCAAGUCUGAGGCCGCGGGUGUCCUCUGUGCUGCUCUGCUGUCUAAAUAAGAAAAUAUGCACUAUGGGUGGACUACCCGCUAUUCUUUAUUUAAAAAAGGUCCUAAAUUGUAAUUUGUCUUCUUCUAAUAGUUUUAUGAGGAGCAUCGGCUCUAAUAGAAAUUGCAUUUCUGUAUUUCAAGUGCAAAGACAGGUGUUAUCUCGGUUUCACAGCGCCGCGCCGACAUGAAAGCAUGAUCUCAGGCCCGAGUGGUUCCUGGUGAUCAAAUAAUCACCUGCUGUUUCACAAAGCAACAUGGUAAUUUCAUCCGUUUCCCCUUUGCUUUUAUACACACUUGUGAGUGGGGGAGAUCUAAAGCCGAACUAAGCGAAAUCCUACCACUGUUGUGUUUUCAAAACAGCCAGAGGGAAGACUGUUAAAUUCUUUAAGCUGGAGUAUUAGACUAUGUUGAACAGCCCUUUAAAGAAACACUCUUUCAUUCUCGUAUAUUUGGUUCAGCGAAUGUUCUGAAUGUGGAUAAAUAGCAGAGAGUGUGAACUGAGUGAAAGCCCAUUUAUGAAAUCUGGAGGAAGACAUCAUUAUUUGCAUUUCAAUCUGAAGGCUAUAAUCAAAUGUACCUGACUGAUUAUGGGUUAUUCAUUUCAGAAAGUGUGUUACUGACACUUAGGCUCUUUAAUCUAGGCUGUAGUGAGCAUCUGCCUCCAGUUAUGGAAGGAUUUCAGUCAGAGCCAAACUCUUCAUAAUACAACAAAGAAAAGGACAACUUAAAAACCCAAAGCAGAAAAACAUCCAGGAACCUCAUGGUGACGUGAAGCUUUCAUUUUGGCUCCAUUUCCUAAUAUUGGAACAAACUUUAGUCUAAUGACUAGUCAAUCACACCUACCUGACUGUGUUUGCUUUAUUUGCUGUGUUGGACGCAUUUAUGAAAGAACUAAGCGAGAUUUUUAAGCGGCCGCACCACAUCGAUCAUGCUAAUGUCCAGCAUGUAGCUUUACAACAGCGUCUGCUAGCACAAAGAUGAAACAUCUCUGUGCUUUACAUUCACAGGCCAUAAAUACAAGCGGCUGCCAUAUUCCUGACGUUCCAAUAUUGCACAAAAGCAGCUUCUCAUCCCCUCCGAGGCCAUUCGUCACUGUCAACUAACUCUUACCCCUCUCUCUCAACUCACACCUACGUUAUCCAUCUUGUGGCGACGGUGGGUUCUGUGGGUCGGGUUCCGCGCCGCUACUUCAGCCGAACUGCUGACAUAAUCUGUCCGUGGGUAAAAGACGGAUGCACUGCUCGCUGUAGUCUGAAGAGCAACAGCAGUUAGCGGUGUCUCUGAGCAGGGAGAGGUUCGAAAUGUGACUCAAGGACACUUCUGCAGCAGCAGGGGUCCUCUGAAGCUGACGGACGCCCAGCAGGGCUCUGCCCACUCCAGCAGCUCUAUCCGGCCAGGCUACGUGGAGCCUCCAUCGGGUGGAUGGAUGGACCCCGCUGCUUUAAUGUCUGCCCAACACCAUCCAU